UACGAAGGGGGCGAGCGUUGUUCGGAAUUACUGGGCGUAAAGCGCACGUAGGCGGCUUUGCAAGUCGGUUGUGAAAUCCCCGGGCUCAACCUGGGAACUGCAUCCGAGACUGCAUUGCUAGAGUAUGGGAGAGGAAAGCGGAAUUUCUGGUGUAGCAGUGAAAUGCGUAGAUAUCAGAAGGAACAUCAGUGGCGAAGGCGGCUUGCUGGACCAAUACUGACGAUCAGGUGCGAAAGCGUGGGGAGCAAACAGG
rnacentral:rRNA from 1 species